AACGCACAUUGCGCCCCCUGGUAUUCCGAGGGGCAUGCCUGUUCGAGCGUCAUUAUCACCCCUCAAGCCUAGCUUGGUGUUGGGGCUCGCCCGCUGAGGGCGGCCCUUAAAAUCAGUGGCGGCGCCGUUAGGCUCUAAGCGUAGUAAUACUUCUCGCUACAGAGUCCUGGCGGUCCCCAGCCAAAACCCCCCAUUUUUUUAUGAUUGACCUCGGAUCAGGUAGGGUUACCCGCUGAACUUAA
rnacentral:misc_RNA from 2 species